rnacentral:ncRNA from 1 species
AAUGAGUAUUAAGGCUCGUGGCGGAUAUCAUUAUUUUCUGACCUUCACAGAUGAUUUGAGCAUCAAGGUCGGCUAGUGAGACGAUGGGGGAUAAGCUUCAUCGUCGAGAGGGAAAUAGCCCGGAUCACCAGCUAAGGCCCCUAAAUAACCGCUCAGCGAUAAAGGAGGUGGGGGUGCAAAGACAACCAGGAGGUUUGCCAAGACGCAGACACCCUUUAAAGAGUGCGUAAUAACUCACUGUAUCUACUUGAUGAAACAUAAGUCUGAAAUAGUUGAAAGGUUCAAAGAAUUUCAGAGUGAAGUGGAA